UAAACAGGAUAUUGAUGGAACCAUACUGAUCUAGUUGCAUGUCUAUCAACGUCUUUCAAGGCAAACAGUAAUGGAGAAGGGAAGGGAUUAUCCUAAUGCAGUAUCCCUCCCCAGGAACAAACUGGUCGAGAUUAUGAAUAUAAAGAGAUAGUUCAAAAAGCUGAUGCAGUUGUUACAAGCUUCUAAGUACAAUCUUCCUGAAGUGAUCAUUACCCUUUUUUUUUUUUUUUUUUUUCUUU